rnacentral:rRNA from 1 species
GAUGAACGCUGGCGGCGUGCCUAAUACAUGCAAGUCGAGCGAACGGACGAGAAGCUUGCUUCUCUGAUGUUAGCGGCGGACGGGUGAGUAACACGUGGAUAACCUACCUAUAAGACUGGGAUAACUUCGGGAAACCGGAGCUAAUACCGGAUGAUAUUUUGAACCGCAUGGUUCAAAAUUGAAAGACGGUCUUGCUGUCACUUAUAGAUGUAUCCGCGCUUCAUUAGCUAGUUGGUAAGGUAACGGCUUACCAAGGCAACGAUGCAUAGCCGACCUGAGAGGGGGAUCGGCCACACUGGAACUGAGACACGGUCCAGACUCCUACGGGAGGCAGCAGUAGGGAAUCUUCCGCAAUGGGCGAAAGCCUGACGGAGCAACGCCGCGUGAUUGAUGAAGGUCUUCGGAUCGUAAAACUCUGUUAUUAGGGAAGAACAUAUGUGUAAGUAACUGUGCACAUCUUGACGGUACCUAAUCAGAAAGCCACGGCUAACUACGUG